UGGGGUAUCGCCAAGCGGUCAGGCAGGCACCGGAUUCUGAUUCCGGCAUUCCGAGGUUCGAAUCCUCGUACCCCAGCCA
rnacentral:tRNA from 1 species